GCGAUAUUUAAUUUUUCGUCGACUGCGAGUCGAUUUUUUUAUCAGUUGUCCAGUUCCAUUACAACGAACGAGUCUAAUUUUCGGUGUUGCAAACAAAAGUAAAUAAUCUGUCUAUGAUUUGAAGUUUGCUCAAAUUUACAGGUUUACCUGCAAUUGUGAAGUUUGAUUCGAUCAGAUAUUCAUUCAGAUUACAUGGAAAAUAUUUGGUUUUAUGGAGAAUAUAUCUAGAUAUGCGACUACAAUGAUGAUGGUGGAAUCGUUUGCCUAAAUGCAUGGAAAGACCUACACUAUUUGGAGAUGCGACUACAAUGACUGGAAAUAUUCGGCUAGAUGUGUAGGUUUAUCUGGAGACGAGACAAUAAAAAAUGUUUGGCUGGAUAUGCAUCUAAAGUGUCUAGGAAGAAAAGGAUUUUCAUCCAGGUUACAUCUAUGUGGUUUUAUGGAGAAUAUAUCUGGAGAUGCGACUACAAUAAUGAUGGUGGAAAUAUUUGCCUAAAUGCAUGGAAAGACACUUUAUUUGGAGAUGUGACUACAAUAAUGAUGGUGGAAAUAUUCGGCUAGAUGUUUGGAUUUAUCUGGUGACGAGACAAUGAAAAUAUUUGGCUGGAAAUGCAUCUAAAGUGCUUUUAAAGAAAAGGGUGAGUUUUUUUCCUACAUAACUUAUAUUUUAACCCUGGAUACCUUUUUAUGUUAUGAUAAACUUCUUUCUCCAGUUUGAGGAAUUAGAGCUGUCACUGUAACACUUAAAAAUUUUCAAAGAGUGCAA